rnacentral:rRNA from 1 species
AUACGUAGGGAGCGAGCGUUGUCCGGAUUUACUGGGUGUAAAGGGUGCGUAGGCGGGACUGCAAGUCAGCGGUGAAAUGCAGCGGCUCAACCGUUGAACUGCCGUUGAAACUGGGCGCCUUGGAUGCGGUCGAGGCCGGCGGAAUGCGUGGUGUAGCGGUGAAAUGCUUAGAUAUCACGCAGAACGCCAAUUGCGAAGGCAGCUGGCCGGGCCGCAAUCGACGCUGAGGCACGAAAGCGUGGGGAUC